CCUGAGGAGUGAUGACAGGAAAGGCCGAAUUGCAGUGCCACCGGCAGUUUGCUCUCUGCGGCCACGAUGACAAAACCGCUGAAGCGAACACAGUCUGACCUCAGU